rnacentral:rRNA from 1 species
AUGAACGCUAGCGGCAGGCUUAAUACAUGCAAGUCGUGGGGCAGCAGGGGUAGCAAUACCCGCUGGCGACCGGCAAACGGGUGAGGAACAUGUACGCAACCUACCUUUAACUGGAGGAUAGCCCCUCGAAAGAGGGAUUAAUACUCCGUAACAUAAUGAAGUGGCAUCGCUUUAUUAUUAUAGCUCCGGCGGUUAAAGAUGGGCGUGCAGCUGAUUAGGCAGUUGGCGGGGUAACGGCCCACCAAACCUACGAUCAGUAACUGGUGUGAGAGCACGACCAGUCACACGGGCACUGAGACACGGGCCCGACUCCUACGGGAGGCAGCAGUAAGGAAUAUUGGUCAAUGGAGGCAACUCUGAACCAGCCAUGCCGCGUGAAGGAGUAAGGCCCUCUGGGUUGUAAACUUCUUUUAUAUGGGAAGAAAUGUUCUGAUUCUUCAGAGCUUGACGGUACCAUAGGAAUAAGCACCGGCUAACUCCGUGC